GGAGAGGUGCGAGAGUGGCCGAAUCGGGCAGUCUCGAAAACUGCUGUCGGGGUAACUCGACCGUGGGUUCGAUCCCCACCCGCCCUUCG
rnacentral:tRNA from 1 species